UGAGGAAUAUUGGACAAUGGGCGCAAGCCUGAUCCAGCCAUGCCGCGUGCAGGAAGAAGCAUCUAUGGUGUGUAAACUGCUUUUGUACGGGAAGAAACACUCCUACGUGUAGGAGCUUGACGGUACCGUAAGAAUAAGGAUCGGCUAACUCCGUGCCAGCAGCCGCGGUAAUACGGAGGAUCCAAGCGUUAUCCGGAAUCAUUGGGUUUAAAGGGUCCGUAGGCGGUUUAAUAAGUCAGUGGUGAAAGCCCAUCGCUCAACGAUGGAACGGCCAUUGAUACUGCUAGACUUGAAUUACAAGGAAGUAACUAGAGUAUGUAGUGUAGCGGUGAAAUGCUUAUAUAUUACAUGGAAUACCAAUUGCGAAGGCAGGUUACUACUUGUGGAUUGACGCUGAUGGACGAAAGCGUGGGGAGCGAACA
rnacentral:rRNA from 1 species